AGAAUCAACGCUGGCGGCGUGCCUAACACAUGCAGGUCGAACGAGAAGGUGGAGCAAUCCAUGAGUAAAGUGGCGCACGGGUGAGUAACACGUGACUAACCUACCCUUGAGUGGGGGAUAACCUAGGGAAACCUGGGCUAAUACCGCAUAAUACCUUCGGGUCAAAGGAGCAAUUCGCUUAAGGAGGGGGUCGCGGCCGAUUAGUUAGUUGGCGGGGUAAUGGCCCACCAAGACUGUGAUCGGUAU
rnacentral:rRNA from 1 species